GACGAACGCUGGCGGCGUGCUUAACACAUGCAAGUCGAACGGAAAGGCCCUGCUUUUGUGGGGUGCUCGAGUGGCGAACGGGUGAGUAACACGUGAGUAACCUGCCCUUGACUUUGGGAUAACUUCAGGAAACUGGGGCUAAUACCGGAUAGGAGCUCCUGCUGCAUGGUGGGGGUUGGAAAGUUUCGGCGGUUGUGGAUGGACUGGCGGCUUAUCAGCUUGUUUGUGGGGUAGUGGCUUACCAAGGCUUUGACGGGUAGCCGGCCUGAGAGGGUGACCGGCCACAUUGGGACUGAGAUACGGCCCAGACGCCUACGGGAGGCAGCAGUGGGGAAUAUGGCAGAGUGGGGGGAAGCCUGAUGCAGCAACGCCGCGUGCGGGAUAACGGCCUUCGAGUGGUAAACCGCUUUCGCCGGUGACGAAGCGAGAGUGACGGUAAUGGGUAAAGAAGCACCGGCUAACUACGUG
rnacentral:rRNA from 1 species